rnacentral:rRNA from 1 species
UACAGAGGUCCCAAGCGUUGUUCGGAUUUACUGGGCGUAAAGGGUGCGUAGGUGGCGGGGUAAGUCGGAUGUGAAAUCUCCAGGCUCAACUCCGGAACUGCACUUGAUACUGCCUUGCUAGAGUACUGGAGAGGAGACUGGAAUUUACGGUGUAGCAGUGAAAUGCGUAGAUAUCGUAAGGAAGACCAGUGGCGAAGGCGAGUCUCUGGACAGUUACUGACGCUGAGGCACGAAGGCCAGGGGAGCAAACGGG